rnacentral:rRNA from 1 species
AUGAACGCUGGCGGCGUGCCUAAUACAUGCAAGUCGCGCGAACGGACGAGAAGCUUGCUUCUCUGAUGUUAGCGGCGGACGGGUGAGUAACACGUGGAUAACCUACCUAUAAGACUGGGAUAACUUCGGGAAACCGGAGCUAAUACCGGAUGAUAUUUUGAACCGCAUGGUUCAAAAGUGAAAGACGGUCUUGCUGUCACUUAUAGAUGGAUCCGCGCUGCAUUAGCUAGUUGGUAAGGUAACGGCUUACCAAGGCAACGAUGCAUAGCCGACCUGAGAGGGUGAUCGGCCACACUGGAACUGAGACACGGUCCAGACUCCCACGGGAGGCAGCAGUAGGGAAUCUUCCGCAAAGGGCGAAAGCCUGACGGAGCAACGCCGCGUGAGUGAUGAAGGUCUUCGGAUCGUAAAACUCUGUUAUUAGGGAAGAACAUAUGUGUAAGUAACUGUGCACAUCUUGACGGUACCUAAUCAGAAAGCCACGGCUAACUACGUG